AGGGUUUGAUCAUGGCUCAGAACGAACGCUGGCGGCAGGCUUAACACAUGCAAGUCGAACGCCCCGCAAGGGGAGUGGCAGACGGGUGAGUAACGCGUGGGAACAUACCCUUUCCUGCGGAAUAGCUCCGGGAAACUGGAAUUAAUACCGCAUACGCCCUACGGGGGAAAGAUUUAUCGGGGAAGGAUUGGCCCGCGUUGGAUUAGCUAGUUGGUGGGGUAAAGGCCUACCAAGGCGACGAUCCAUAGCUGGUCUGAGAGGAUGAUCAGCCACAUUGGGACUGAGACACGGCCCAAACUCCUACGGGAGGCAGCAGUGGGGAAUAUUGGACAAUGGGCGCAAGCCUGAUCCAGCCAUGCCGCGUGAGUGAUGAAGGCCUUAGGGUUGUAAAGCUCUUUCACCGAUGAAGAUAAUGACGGUAGUCGGAGAAGAAGCCCCGGCUAACUUCGUGCCAGCCGCCGCGGUAAUAC
rnacentral:rRNA from 1 species